rnacentral:rRNA from 1 species
UACGACUACAUAUCAGGCAUAUCAAUAAGCGGAGGAAAAGAAACUAACAAGGAUUCCCUUAGUAACGGCGAGUGAAGCGGGAAGAGCUCAAAUUUGAAAUCUUCAAGGUUCUACCUUGACGAAUUGUAGUUUAAAGAAGUGUUUUCUGUUAGAGUGAGUAGCAAAAGUUCCUUGGAAUAGGACAUCAUAGAGGGUGAGAAUCCCGUAUUUGACUUAUUCAUUCUAGCUCUGUGAUACACUUUCAAAGAGUCGGAUUGUUUGGGAAUGCAGUCCAAAAUGGGUGGUAAAUUUCAUCUAAAGCUAAAUAUUGGCGAGAGACCGAUAGCGAACAAGUACCGUGAGGGAAAGAUGAAAAGAACUUUGAAAAGAGAGUUAAACAGUACGUGAAAUUGUCAAAAGGGAAGCGUUUGACACCAGUGUUGUUUUUCCGAAAAUCAAUUACGAAUGGCUUGAUUUUGUGUUGUAUUGACCUUAUCAGCUUUCUGCACUUUUUUCGAGUCUUUCUUAAUGCACUUUUCGGUUAACAAGUCAACAUCAAUUUCUUUUGUUGUAAAAGAGUAUUCGGAAGGUGGCUUUCUUUUCGGAGAAAGUGUUUAUAGCCCUAUACUUCUACAAUCGGAGAGAUUGAGGUCUGCAGCGUAGAUCCCUUCGGGGUUAGAUACACUUGUGCUAAGUUGUAGCUUUUCAUAGACAACUUGUUGACUAUGUUUAGUCAUGCGGCUUACUCGCUUGUGCUAUUUUACCUACGCUUAGGAUGUUGAGUAGCGACAUACGCAC